rnacentral:rRNA from 1 species
AAACCAGCACCUCAAGUGGUCAGGAGGAUUAUUGGGCCUAAAGCAUCCGUAGCCUGUUCUGUAAGUUUUCGGUUAAAUCCAUUAGCUCAACUAAUGGGCCGCCGAAAAUACUGCAUAACUAGGGAGUGGGAGAGGUAGACGGUACUCGGUAGGAAGGGGUAAAAUCCUUUGAUCUAUUGAUGACCACCUGUGGCGAAGGCGGUCUACCAGAACACGUUCGACGGUGAGGGAUGAAAGCUGGGGGAGCAAACCGGAUUAGAAACCCGUGUAGUCC